rnacentral:rRNA from 1 species
AGUGAACGCUGGCGGUAGGCCUAACACAUGCAAGUCGAACGGCAGCACAGUAAGAGCUUGCUCUUACGGGUGGCGAGUGGCGGACGGGUGAGGAAUACAUCGGAAUCUACUUUUUCGUGGGGGAUAACGUAGGGAAACUUACGCUAAUACCGCAUACGACCUACGGGUGAAAGCAGGGGAUCUUCGGACCUUGCGCGAUUGAAUGAGCCGAUGUCGGAUUAGCUAGUUGGCGGGGUAAAGGCCCACCAAGGCGACGAUCCGUAGCUGGUAUGAGAGGAUGAUCAGCCAGACUGGAACUGAGAAACGGUCCAGACUCCUACGGGAGGCAGCAGUGGGGAAUAUUGGACAAUGGGGGCAAGACUGAUCCAGCCAUACCGCGUGGGUGAAGAAGGCCUUCGGGUUGUAAAGCCCUUUUGUUGGGAAAGAAAAGCAGCAGGUUAAGACCCCGCUGUUCUGACGGUACCAUAAGAAUAAGCACCGGCUAACUUCGUG